AGCCGGCUCCCCUCCCCCUCCCGCGCGCCUCCUCUCCCUCUCUCUGGUUCCCCUCCCCUCGCCUCCCCUCCCGCACGCCUCCUCUCCUCCCGCCCACAUCACCGCCGCCGCCGCCGCCACCCGCCUCCCCGCGCCGUCGGCGGCCAGACCCACCGCAGCAAAGCCCCCCUCCCUCCCCAACGACGAUGAGCAAAAGCGGAGGGAGGACGAGGAGCACGACGGCGGCGGCAGCGGGGAGGAGCAGCAGCAGGGCAAGGCGGCGUGCUGCGCCGUCCCGCGUCUCCUCUCCUCCGACCACGCCGCGGUGCUGCGCGACGGCGAGUGGGCGCCUGCCCUCCCCGUCCGCGAGCUCGUCCCCGUGCACGGCGGCGGCUCCCGAGCCCUCCUGCUCCGACCCCGCAGAGUGCUCGACCCGUAGCCUCUGCUCGCCCUCGCGCUAUCGGUCUUGCGCCCUAGGCAGUCAGCCUCUACCCUGCUUGUGUCAAGGAAGGAAGGGGUCCCAUCCAUGGAGAAGCUGCGGGUGUAGAUGGUACAGCGGCUAGAGAAGAGGAGGUGGAGCAGCAGCACCAGGUCAACAUCCAGCACCAAACACCUCUGAAUCUAAAUAUAUAUCAACAAAUAUACAGCGGACAGAGCAGUCCAGUCACAUCUUCUACAGACCAACGUGUAGAACAAGAUGAACAUGUGCCUUACAUGAGCUCUUUGGAUGAUUAUAUCUUUGACAGUGAGGGAAAUUGCUCUGCGGACAACCUGGUACACAAUGAUUACUAAUCCAGUGUUAGCUCCUCAUUAUCAUGGCUAUCUGAAUGAUCGUUUGGUACUUUCAGUUCACUGUCUUAGUAUAUUGCCUUCUGCAAUGCGGCUAUCUGAAUGAUUGUUAGGUACUUUCAGUCCCCCGUCUUAGUAAGUUAGUAUACUGCCUUCUGCGAUGCAAUCAAUGCUCUGCUAUGCAGCACCUUGUCCUACCAGACUUAAUUAUGUACAUUAUAUGAUAUAUGUACUGAUACUCUACUAUGCAAUCCGUCGGUCCUAGAAAAUUAAAUUAUGUAACUUAUAUGGUGUAUACUGAUGCUCUACUUUGCAGUGCCUUAUCCUAGCAGACUUAAUUAUGUAAAUUAUACUCCCUCUGUAAACAGAUAUAAGAGCGUUUAGGUCACUACUGUAGUGAUCUAAACGCUCUUAUAAAAGUUUACAGAGAGAGUAUGUGUGUUUUCUAUCCUGAUUAGGAUGAACUACGCAUGUGCAUUCAGCUUACUAACAUAGGUAUUUUGCUUGUGAUAGUUCUUGUUCAAUUAGUUCGCCCCUAUGAAUGUGUGUGAGGCUCCUGGUCACCUAAAUUCUUUUACAGGACAGUGACAUGCCCCGUUAAAACGGGUAAAUUAUUCGUUAUGCUCAAAAUGAUUCUACAAAACAAGUACUAAUAAUCAUAUUAGCCUUGCAUUGCAGAUUAUUUCCUUUUUGUGGUUGGCAUGAAUGACUUUUGUACUCAAUGGUUUAAGCAGUUGCUCUAGGAUGCCGGUCAUCCUCCAGCCUCCUCAGCCGCUUGGCAUUCUUGGCUGUUGGAUCUGGUUGCUUGAUGCGAUCUGAGCCGUCGGAUCGAGCCCUGGAAUGACCUUGUCCGUCGGAUAAAAAAUAGUUACUGUUGCAAUGAACAGUUUCGCCUCGACCGUCCACCACGCGUAAAUAGCCUGCCCCACCGCGUUUGAAUCACGUGCCACAUCGGUCGGAAGCCAUUCUUGCUAGGGCGAUGAUGAUUAGCCGUGGGUAUCAAGUUGGGUCCUCCCUCUUGUCUCUAGAAUCCUUUUUUAUCCUGUGAUACUUAUUGUUCUGUCCUUUGGAUGGUCAUUCUUAUUGAGUGAUAACCAGGGCAGCUCCACUGUAUAAACAGAUUGAUCUGGUGAUAAGAGAUGAUGGGGGUAGAUUAUAUGAUGAGGAAAGGCAAAUCUGAGCCCAUAUGCAUUGAACCCUGAAGCCUUUUUAUUCGCACGUGCCCCAUCGGUCGGAAGCCAUCCUUGCUAGGGCGAUGAUGAUUAACCGUCGCUGAAAUAAGUGUGCCUUUGAGCAAUCAAGGCACCUGUGGGUAUCAAGUUGGAUCCUCCCUCUUGUCUCUAGAAUCCUUUUUGAUCCUGUGAUACUUAUUGUUCUGUCCUUGGAUGGUCAUUCUUGUUGAGUGAUAACCAGGGCAGCUCUACUCUAUAAACAGAUUAAUCUGGUGAUAAGAGAUGAUGGGGGUAGGUUAUAUGAUCGAGGAAAGGUGAAUCUGAGCCCACUAUGCAAUAGAACUGCAGCUACCUCCCCUAAUGUGUGUAGUAUUGAAGGCAAUAAAGAACUUUUCAUGUCUUGCUACUUUAAAAUUCAAAAAAGGUUCAUUCUUCCUUUGCUGGUUACUUAACCAUGAUUUUUGUUUUGCUUUGGUUCUGGUUGAGAUACUAAAGGUUGUUUAUUUAUGAAAAGAACAAACACUUGUAGUUUUGUAUGCCUCAGCUGUUGCUUAGGAUCCAGUGUUGUAGUGCUUUGCCUAAUUACAAAUAACUCUAAUCAAUAAUAGUGGUAUCAAUAAUAGUGGUUCUUUCCUUCUGAUUUGAACUGAGAGAGAGAGAGCCACUGAUUCUUGAUCUUAAGGUGACCCCAUUUUUCUAUGCCUCAUGCUCAUGCUGCUCUAUGUUCCCUUUUAAAAAUUCUUGCUUGCAUUUUGGGUUGGUUUCUGCUCUAUGUUCCCUUUUAGCGUUUCUUUCCGUUGUUGCUGCACUCUCUUUUGGGCGUUCAUUUCAUGCCCGUGAUCUUGCAAAUUGUGCCUGUGCCGAGCUUGCUUUAGAGUACAGGCUGCGGAGACGUCGAGGACCUCAAGGUCACCGAUGUUGUGGAGCUGGACGAGGUUUCCACGCAGUUCAUCGACCGCCUGUUCUUCCUGGAGAAGAUAUUUUGCAGUUCGGUCCAUGCCGUGGCGGAGGGUUGUCUUGUGGUUUGACCGGAGCGGGGGCACACCAGAGAAGCGAUCUCGUCCCCAUUAUUCAGGACACUACGGUUAAAGAUUGGUCUCAUUUAUAUUGAUGUUGCUGAUUAUCAAAUCAAUGGAUGUUAUCUAGAGUGCUUCUCCUUCCGAUUUGACGUACUAUGUCUUCCAGCUUAUACUAUAUAUGAUUUCUUUCAAUGGUUUUAACUAAUUAUGGAUAUGUAUCUAAUUAUGUUAUUUUGGCAUCAACAAAUUACUCACCUAGCAUUUAUUCUGCUAUAUGGAAACAAUCGGUGCCUAUUUCUUUUUUAUCUGAACUCAGACAUAAUUCUGCUAUAUGUAAACAAUCAUUGGUUCUUUCCAUUCUAUCUAAACUGAGAAAUAACUCUAAUCAGUUGUUUUUUAUUUACUGUCCAAGUAUCAUUCUUACCUAAAACUUGUGCCAAAACUGGUUUUUCUUUCAUAUGUGCCAUAGAUUAUCCAACCCCCUCUGCUUCUGUACAAUUUUGUCGACUUAUCUGGCAUUUUCUCAGCCGUGUGGAACCAGCACAUCUACCUGCGAAUCUCCAGGCUAUGAUAUCAGCAGGGUUGCUUCGAUGAUGGCCCUAUCAAGAGUAUACAUGUGUGCUCUUCUAUAGGGAAAUCAUGCCAACAAGAUGGUGCCUAAUGAGGUCAUAGACAUGUUUUAGACACUUUGCAUGAGAGAAAUUUAUACAAGUGUGCCAGGAUCCAUGUGAGGUUCCCUGUAACAAUUCUGAGGGUAGUGGAAGGCACGUAUACAUUAUGGUUCACUAGAUCAACAAUUGUCUUCACCUUGAGGGUGUUUUCAUUUGGUCAUGUUUGUUAACAUGCUUAGUUGCUUCUUCUUUAUUAUGUUUCUGCUCCGAUAACUUUCUCAUAUUAUAUCACUUUUGUUAUUAACCAUCGUA